AGUGAACGCUGGCGGUAGGCCUAACACAUGCAAGUCGAACGGCAGCACAGUAAGAGCUUGCUCUUACGGGUGGCGAGUGGCGGACGGGUGAGGAAUACAUCGGAAUCUACUUUUUCGUGGGGGAUAACGUAGGGAAACUUACGCUAAUACCGCAUACGACCUACGGGUGAAAGCAUGGGAUCUUCGGACCUUGCGCGAUUGAAUGAGCCGAUGUCGGAUUAGCUAGUUGGCGGGGUAAAGGCCCACCAAGGCGACGAUCCGUAGCUGGUCUGAGAGGAUGAUCAGCCACACUGGAACUGAGACACGGUCCAGACUCCUACGGGAGGCAGCAGUGGGGAAUAUUGGACAAUGGGCGCAAGCCUGAUCCAGCCAUACCGCGUGGGUGAAGAAGGCCUUCGGGUUGUAAAGCCCUUUUGUUUGGAAAGAAAAGCAGCAGGUUAAUACCCCGCUGUUCUGACGGUACCCAAAGAAUAAGCACCGGCUAACUUCGUG
rnacentral:rRNA from 1 species